rnacentral:rRNA from 1 species
UACAGAGGUCUCAAGCGUUGUUCGGAUUCAUUGGGCGUAAAGGGUGCGUAGGUGGCGUCGUAAGUCGGGUGUGAAAUUUCGGAGCUUAACUCCGAAACUGCAUUCGAUACUGCGGUGCUUGAGGACUGGAGAGGAGACUGGAAUUUACGGUGUAGCAGUGAAAUGCGUAGAGAUCGUAAGGAAGACCAGUGGUGAAGGCGGGUCUCUGGACAGUUCCUGACACUGAGGCACGAAGGCCAGGGGAGCAAACGGG